CGGCGAGUGAAGCGGCAACAGCUCAAAUUUGAAAUCUGGCGUCUUUGGCGUCCGAGUUGUAAUUUGCAGAGGGCGCUUUGGCAUUGGCAGCGGUCCAAGUUCCUUGGAACAGGACGUCACAGAGGGUGAGAAUCCCGUACGUGGUCGCUAGCCUUUACCGUGUAAAGCCCCUUCGACGAGUCGAGUUGUUUGGGAAUGCAGCUCUAAAUGGGAGGUAAAUUUCUUCUAAAGCUAAAUACUGGCCAGAGACCGAUAGCGCACAAGUAGAGUGAUCGAAAGAUGAAAAGCACUUUGGAAAGAGAGUUAAAAAGCACGUGAAAUUGUUGAAAGGGAAGCGCUUGCAGCCAGACUUGCCUGUAGUUGCUCAUCCGGGUUUCUACCCGGUGCACUCUUCUACGGGCAGGCCAGCAUCAGUUUGGGCGGUUGGAUAAAGGUCUCUGUCAUGUACCUCCCUUCGGGGAGAUCUUAUAGGGGAGACGACAUGCAACCAGCCUGGACUGAGGUCCGCGCAUCUGCUAGGAUGCUGGCGUAAUGGCUGUAAGCGGCCCGUCUUGAAACACGGACCAAGGAGUCUAACAUCUAUGCGAGUGUUUGGGUGUCAAGCCCGAGCGCGUAAUGAAAGUGAACGGAGGUGGGAACCUUUCGGGGUGCACCAUCGACCGAUCCUGAUGUCUUCGGAUGGAUUUGAGUAAGAGCAUAGCUGUUGGGACCCGAAAGAUGGUGAACUAUGCUUGAAUAGGGUGAAGCCAGAGGAAACUCUGGUGGAGGCUCGCAGCGGUUCUGACGUGCAAAUCGAUCGUCAAAUUUGGGCAUAGGGGCGAAAGACUAAUCGAACUAUCU
rnacentral:rRNA from 1 species